AUCAUGAGUAGACCGUCCAACAGAGCUGCUCAGCCUAACAUCAUCUGGAGGGUUGGGAUGCUUCCUCUGAUGAACUCGACCUCCCAGGUUCUGCUGAUGACCUACUCUGAUGUCAAGAGGACCAACUGGCUGACCUCUACACUCUGCAAUGCAUUGGAGACCAGUGCGAGGAUGGCAACGGGACUGGCAGUAAGGAGAGCCAAGCCGAUCCUAAACAUUUUUGAGUACCAAUUUGCCUCGGCCAACACCUUCGCCUCCAAAAGACUGGACAAGUUGGAAGAAGAGUUCCCAAUCCUGCAGCUGUCGAUAGAUGAGGU